AGUCUUAAGCCUUUUGCAGUGGUCCCUAAGGGAACUGCACAGGUUUCUGCCUAACAGUGCCCUUGCCCUCCGGCCUACCAUGUGGGUUGACUGCCCCACGCCCAGUGGCUGUCUUGGGGCACCUCAAAAGGGUCCCAUUCCUGCCCUAGAGCAAACAGCUCUGAUGUGUCCCAGGACUGAUCGGGGUGCUGCCACCUCGCAUGGGCUGCUGCGUCCCACGUGGGUCGGCUGUCCACCUGCCCAGCAGAAGUCCCUGCGCAUCUUGGGGACUGCCAUUCCAUUGCCAGGGGCCCUUGCCCACUGGAAUUCAUAGUAUUACCAGAUGGCCACGCUACGAGCCUUGCCAUCUGGUAGUUGACCAUAGGAAUGAAUGAAAGGACCAAAUGGCUGUGUUGCUCUGGAAGUCUGACUGGGUGCCAAUUUGAAAUGUUUCUCCAGUUGGUUCCAUAAGGAGGUUGGACACUUUUGCCCAGACCUCCCACUCUACCACCCAGGGUACACAGAUUACAAGACAGUUUAGUCAAUUUCCCCCGGAUUACUGUAGACAGUGUAUUAGUGUCCUGCCGGUGCUCCAGUAGUUUGCUGCCCCACCCGGGCUCCAUGUUGAAACCCUCUUCCCUUCACCAACCUGCCCAACAGUUGGUCCCAUGAAGUGUCCCAGCAGAGCCGGCCUCCUCCGGGUGGGGGCCCUGCAUGUAGCCUUUGGAGCCCUGCAAGAGGCUACCUUUCCAGGGCCAACCUCCUGGUUGUUGCCUCCCUGGUGGGGGCACGGAUGGCUUCCCAUUCCUUUGCCAGGGCACUACGGGCUAUACCAGGCCAGGCCCUGUGAAUGAGUUGCACUACCAGAUGGCCAUGCUCUGAGCCCGGCCAUCUGGUACUUGGACAAAGGAAUGAAUGGCAGGACCAGAUGGCCAGCAUACUCUGGGGGUCCGGAUGGGCAGCAAUUUGAAAAUGUUCUUCAGUUGGGUCUAUAAAGAGGCUAGACACCUUUGCCCAUACCUGUCCCUCUGUCACACAGGGUACACAGAUUACAAGAAAGCUUAGUCACCUUCCCCCGGAUUACUGUAGACAGUGUGUAUGUGUCCUGUCUGUGCUCCACUUGGUUCUCGCUGCCCCACCCAGGCUUUUUGGCAAAACCGCUGUACCCCCCAACCGCCACACACGGUGGCAGGUGGGCAGUAGCAUAUGCUCUCAAAGAUUACGCCAUGCAUGUGUAAAUACACCUGGCCGGUUAAGUAAAACUGUGAAUGUGUUGCCUGCGCCGAGAACCACAGGGACUAAGUCACAAAGAGUAGGAGGGCUGCUGCAGUGCGCAUUGAAGCCCGGGGCGAAGGCCCAGGUGGAGGCACCACAGGUGCAGAUCUUGGUGGUAGUAGCAAAUAUUUAAAUACGAAAUUUGAAGGCUGAAGUGGAUAAGGGUUCCAUGUGAACAGCAAUUGAAAUGGGUCAGUCGGUCAUAAGAGAUGGGCGAAUGCAGUUCCGAAGGGCAAUGGCCUCUGUUGCCAGCAGCCGAUCGAAAGGGAGUCAUGCUCAGAUCCCCAAAGCCGAAGUGGUGGAGAUGGUUGCGCCCAGGGUGUCCAGUGAGGUAACGCAAACAAUGCGGGAGAAGCCGGAGGGAGCCCCGGGGAGAGUUCUCUUUUCUUUGUGAUGGGCAGGGCACCCUGAAAUGGGUUCAUUCUGAGAGAAGGGCCCGAGCCUUGGAAAGCAUCAUGGUUCAGGUGGCGUCUGGUGAGCUCUUGCUGCUCCUUGAAAAUCCAGGGGAGAUGGUGUACCCAUAUUUGCAGAAGGUCUCUAAGUGAACAGCCUCUGGCAUGUUGCAACAAUGUAGGUAAGGGAAAUCGGCAAGUCAGAUCUAAAACUUCAGGAUAAGGAUUGGCUAUAAGGGCUGGGUUGGUCAGGCUGGUUCGCAGGGCUGGGCAUGCGCCGUGACUGGACACAUUCUCUCCACCCCCCCAGGGUGGCGCCGACUAUGGAUGUGAGCCAGACCCUUCCGGUGGAUAACCCCAGCUGCGGUGGUCACCUCCCUCCAUUCCCCUCCUGGGGUUUAGGGCCAGCGUUAUGCCUCGGCCAAUGUCUACCAGCUGACUUUGAACUGGUGCAGAUGAGGGGAAUCUGACUGUUUAAUUAAAACAAAGCAUCCCAAAGGCCCAUGGCAGGGUUUGAUUCAAUGUGAUUUCUGCCCAAUGAAUGUCAAAGUGAAUAAAUUCAAUGAAUUGCGAGUAAACAGCUGGAGUAACUGUGACUCUCUUAAGAUAGCCAAAUGCCUCAUCAUCUAAUUAAUGAGGCACAUGAAUGGAUGAACGAGAUUCCCACUGCCUCUCCCUACUAUCUAGCAAAACCACAGUCAUGGGAAUUGGAUUGGAAGAAUCAGCAGGGAGGGAAUACCCAGUUGAACUAGACUAGUCUGGCACCUGUGAAGAAACAUGAGAGGUGUAGGAUAAGUGGGUCGCCCACGGGGCGCUGGUAUAAUACCACUACUCUUAUUGUAGUUUCACUUACCCGUUGAAGAGGGGGGCGAGCCACAUGGGGCUCUCUCUUCUGACUGCAAGUGCCCGGCACCUGCUGGGCAUGACAUGCUCCAGGGAUAGUGGCAGGUGGGGAGUUUGACUAGGGCGGUACACCCAUCAAAUGAAAUGCAGGUGUCCGGAGGCAAGCUCAGGGAGGACAGAAACCUGCAGAGAAGAGCAAAUGCUUGCUUGAUCUCGAUCGUCAGUAGGAACACAGACCGUGCAAGCAGGGCCUCGCAAUCCUUCUGACUGGCUUGUGGUGGCCAAGCGAUUAUAGUGACAUCGCUGUUUGAUCCUUCAAUGUCGGCUCUUCCUAUCAUUGUGAAGUAGAAUUCACCAAGUAUCCGAUUGUUCACCCACAACAGGGAACAUGAGCUGGACUUUGAACGUGCAGGCUGGAUCUGUGCUGUGUGGUAACCUGAAAAAUUUGAAGAUCCUGUAGGGAAGGAGCUAAGUACCCCCACCUCAAUCACUUCGCCCAUAUUGCCUAUCUGCUGGAAACCAGAAUAUGACACACGUACAAAGCCAUUUGA
rnacentral:rRNA from 1 species